UGGAGAGUUCGUUCAAUUGGUAGAGCAGCGGUCUUGAAAACCGCCGGGCUAACACCCAUGUGGGUUCGAGUCCCACACUCUCCGAUUU
rnacentral:tRNA from 3 species